rnacentral:rRNA from 1 species
CGUUGUUCGGAAUUACUGGGCGUAAAGGGCGCGUAGGCGGCCUACUAAGUCGGACGUGAAAUCCCUUGGCUUAACCGGGGAACUGCGCCCGAUACUGGUUGGCUUGAGUUUGGGAGAGGGAUGCGGAAUUCCAGGUGUAGCGGUGAAAUGCGUAGAUAUCUGGAGGAACACCGGUGGCGAAGGCGGAAUCCUGGACAAAUACUGACGCUGAGGAGCGAAAGCCAGGGGAGCAAGCGGG